rnacentral:rRNA from 1 species
AUUGAACGCUGGCGGCAGGCCUAACACAUGCAAGUCGAACGAGUGGCGGACGGGUGAGUAAUGUUUGGGAAACUGCCUGAUGGAGGGGGAUAACUACUGGAAACGGUAGCUAAUACCGCAUACCAUCAGAUGUGCCCAGAUGGGAUUAGUUUGUUGGUGGGGUAACGGCUCACCAAGGCGACGAUCCCUAGCUGGUCUGAGAGGAUGACCAGCCACACUGGAACUGAGACACGGUCCAGAUUCCUACGGGAGGCAGCAUUGGGGAAUAUUGCACAAUGGGCGCAAGCCUGAUGCAGCCAGGCCGCUUGUGGGAAGAAGGCCUUCGGGUUGUAAAGCACUUUCAGCGAGGAGGCGUUACUCGCAGAAGAAGCACCGGCUAACUCCGUGCCAGCAGCCGCGGUAAUAC